UACGUAGGGUGCGAGCGUUGUCCGGAAUUAUUGGGCGUAAAGGGCUCGUAGGCGGUUUGUCGCGUCGGGAGUGAAAACCCAGGGCUUAACCCUGGGCUGGCUUUCGAUACGGGCAGACUAGAGGUAUGCAGGGGAGAACGGAAUUCCUGGUGUAGCGGUGAAAUGCGCAGAUAUCAGGAGGAACACCAGUGGCGAAGGCGGUUCUCUGGGCAUUACCUGACGCUGAGGAGCGAAAGUGUGGGGAGCGAACAGG
rnacentral:rRNA from 1 species